UGGAAGCUAUUUGGGAGAGCCCUAAAGAAUCCGAAUACUUUGCCGCGGUUCGUAUUCCGCACCGACCGCUGUACCAGCAUACGAGGCCCACAGACUAAACAACCCAUGAACCUCUGGCCUACUGAUAUUACCCACCGACCGACGGAUCCAG